AACCCCGCCACAAGUAAGCAGGCAGGCAGCAUCAGUUUUGGAAGUCCGCUCAGCUCGCUUCUGACUGCUGACAGCAGCUCGAUGAUCCUCUGCUGCACCCUCUUCUGGUUGCAUCUGCAUCCCCUCAGCAUCACGCCUCUCAACUUUCUCGUCUGCCUUGUGGUCCAUCGUUCUGCGGUAAUCGACCUUAACGCCAGGGAGCAUUAACGACGACUACAACAGAGUCGGAGAAGCGAGAUAUUCCCCAUCCGUGGCCUUAUCUAAGAGAAUAUGUAGAGAAUUGUUUUGUUGUUUUGUCAAGUUAUCAAAACGAGUAUUGUGCAUAAAUGAUGGUAAACAUGUUGUUUUACUAUUGCAGUUAUAUCAAUUCUGUUUGUAACUUUUAUUUCAGGCCUGAGUUGAAUCUGUACAUCUACUUUUGCCAGUCUUUUACACAAGUAUCUGGAUGUUGACAUAAGCACUGAGUUUGAGUCCUUUGGCACCUCUGUAGGCAUGUCGUUUGCACAACAUCUCAUGUAUAGGUUUACAUAGUGCUAUUACAAUUGACCUAAAUCUAAAGGCUAAAACAAAAUGUACAAAAUCUAAAGGCCACAACAAAAUUAACAAAUUAUCUUUUUUUUUGUUAAUUCAGUCACGACUGUAAGUAGUUCACAUGCGUUCCUAUUUACCAUUUUAGGUGAGGCUUCUUGGUGUACUUGUUUUGUUACAGAUUUGUUUAAAAUGUUUUAUUUAUACCAUAUUCCCAGGAAUGUGUGGAUUAAAAGAUUAAUGUCACAGGACCAGGGAAAUUGGACCAGCAAAGAUUGAAUUGAGAGGGGCAUGUGUCAUUCUACUCUAAUUUGCGCUACACCAAGUUCUCUGGUAGAACAUUUAAGACAAGUUAGAAAGUGCAAGAAUUAUGCUCUGUUUUUAUUGAAAAUUCUUCUGGACCAGGCGGCACAGUUUGCACAUCUGCCUCACAGUUCUGAGGACCGGGGUUCAAAUCCGGCCGCACCUGUGUGAAGUUUGCAUGUUCUCCCCGUGCCUGCGUGGGUUUUCUCCGGGCACUCCGGUUUCCUGCCACAUCCCAAAAACAUGCGUGGUAGGUUAGUUGAAGACUCUAAAUCGCCCGUAGGUGUGAAUGUGAAUGCAAAUGGUUGUUUGUUUAUAUGAGCCCUGUGAUUGGCUGGCUCCGGGACGCACUAUAUAAAACUGAUGGAACGAUUUCUGGACAGUUUAUUUAAAACACAAUAUCAAUAAAAGUACACAAUGCGGUUACAAACUA